AAAUAAUUGGUUCAAUACUCACUAAGUUUUUACUGUUGGAUCUCACAAAAGAUAUUAAAAUGAUGUCCUUGUCUCUUCCUUGAUAACGAUCGACAGUGUUAAUUUCUAUUUCAGUGAAUGAUUUAAGAUUCUUAGAAAGCAACUCCACCUGACUUUUGUAAAUUGAAAUUAUCCCGAUAGAACUUUGCUUAACGCCUCGUUCCAAGAAGGAGGAAACUGCUUGUUCUAUCAAAAAAGCUUCAGUAUGAUUUUCUAGAAUAUUAUUAGUUUUUGAUUCAACUCCCAGAAUAUCAUCGGUAUUAAAAAAUAUGACUGAAUGACUAGGAUUGAUUAACUUGUUGACCCAAUGUAGGCUAGACGACGAAUCGGGUAAACCAUCACUUAGAUGAGCUUUUGGCAAAAUUAAUUUUUUUUGGGAUAUCGUCUUGGACCCACACACCAAAUUGCCGCCAUAAAUAAGUU